rnacentral:rRNA from 1 species
UACGUAGGCGACAAGCGUUGUCCGGAUUUACUGGGCGUAAAGAGCGCGCAGGCGGUCGAUCAAGUCGAGUGUGAAAGCCCCCGGCUCAACUGGGGAGGGUCAUUCGAUACUGAUCGACUCGAAGGCAGGAGAGGGUAGUGGAAUUCCCGGUGUAGUGGUGAAAUGCGUAGAUAUCGGGAGGAACACCAGUGGCGAAGGCGACUACCUGGCCUGUUCUUGACGCUGAGGCGCGAAAGCUAGGGGAGCAAACGGG